GCUCUUCCUCAUUACUCUCCUCCUCUUCUUCAUCACUGCCAACCACAAAGCUGUCCUCUGCGUACGUCUCAUCCAUCUCAGGCACCUGCCAACAAAAGAACUCCCACUUCUUUCUGAAACACACCUGAAUGGUUGCCAUGGCGAUUAAAGGAUUUCUCAAUCAUGGAUGAAAGAGUGAAAGAAACACUUCAGGGCUUCUCACAGACUUCAGGUAAACUCCACGCAUCUCCGAGUCUGAUGUGGAGCAGAACAGAACCAGAGUGAGUUCA